UACGUAGGCAGCAAGCGUUGUUCGGAGUUACUGGGCGUAAAGAGUGCGUAGGCGGUCCUGUAAGUUUGGUGUGAAAUCUCCCGGCUCAACUGGGAGGGUGCGCCGAAGACUGCAGGGCUUGAGUAUGGGAGAGGUAAGCGGAAUUCCUGGUGUAGCGGUGAAAUGCGUAGAUAUCAGGAGGAACACCUGUGGUGUAGACAGCUUACUGGACCAUAACUGACGCUGAGGCACGAAAGCGUGGGUAGCAAACAGG
rnacentral:rRNA from 1 species